CUUUGUCACCCAAUAACUCUAGACGAGUUAUAUCAUUCUCCAAUUGUCUUGCUUCAACAUCGUUGGCGUUACCUUUGUCCACCCUCUAUUGUUCUCGCUCUGAUUCUCAUUUGCCGUACAACUCGAUUCCUCGUUAUCGUUCUACUUCUCACCUUAAUUAACAUCAUUAUUGAUUAUUUCGUUAUUUCCAAACCUAGUUCAACUUACCCUCUUUCUAUCAAUCAUCUCCACUAUACUUUUGUAGUCAGUUUUUAUCUCCAGAUCCCGAACUUUCACCUUCUUUGCAAGAAUGGCCAUAUUCAAGAUGGCUUGGCACUCAAGAGCAAUGGGGUUGUUAUAUCCCCCAUUUAUUCCAAGUCACAGUAGCAAUUGUGUCACCAUACUCAUUUCCGAUCCAAGCCAUCAUGUUUCACUCCCCUCUAAUCACCAAAUUCACAUCGUUGUUUGCGAUGAUCUUCCUAUUCUCCCAUGUAUUUUGAUAGUCAAGUGUUCUUUUGUUUGCAUGUUAUUUAGGUUGUUGUUUAUCUUCAAAGUUCUGCCCUAAUGAUAGUUUUUACCUUUGUUACAGCUUUGCAUGUUUUAUUAUUUUUCUUUCGUUCUAACAUCUAUAGUGUGAUGUGUUAAACUAUAAUUCCUUGUGUCGAAGCAGGUUGCUCGACAAAACAAGGAAGUGUCGAACCACCUAAUGUGUUGAGUUAUGUUAGUGUGUCGAAGCAUGUUGCUUCAUACAGGAUUUCGACUUAGGCCUAUUUUAGUAGUGUUAGCUAUUUUGGGCUUUUAUAGUUUUAGGUUUUGACUUGAGGUCCAAGUUAACCUAAAUCUAUAAAUAGAGGGAGUAACUCUUAUUCUUGUAAUAAGGUGAAUAGAGUAUUCAUAACACUUAUAAUUCACAGUAUUUUGCAGUUGCAAAGUGAAUAAGAAGUUUUUCACAGUUUGUGGGCAGAGAGAAAAUCUGCAGAAUUUUAAUUCUUCUUCUCCUUCAUCGUUCUUUACACUCUUUCUUUCUCCAUUAUUUUUUUCAUUGUUAUUGUGUGGGUGAUAACAAUCUUGUUCAUCAAGAUUGAUUGAAAUUCUCCAUAGAUUUUUGGGGGUUUUCCAAUAUCUGGUAUCAAGAGCUCUGAUUUAAUCGAUUCGUGGGAAGAAAAUCACCAUGGCAACGAAUCAUCCAAACGGAUAUUUUCCAGCAAAUCUUUUGAUUCUCAAGAACAACAAUUAUGAGAAUUGGUGCAAUCAGAUAAAGGUUGUGUUCUGUUAUCAAGAUCUUUGGGAUCAUGUGAAGGAAGGAGUAGCAACGCUUGUAGAAGUCGCGACAGAUCAUGAAAAGGUUGCACAUAAAGAAUUGAAGAAGAAAGAUUAUAAAGAUCUCUUUAUAAUCCAUCAAUAUGUUGAUGCAGAUAACUUUGAAAAGGUUAGUGAUGCAGAUUCAGCGAAAGAAGCAUCGGAAAUUCUGGAGAAAUCGUUUAGAAGUGCAGCGAAGGUGAAAGAGGUGAAGUUACAAACUAACAAAAGAACAUAUGAAUUACUUCAGAUGGAAGAAAAUGAAAGCAUAACUGAUUUCUUCACUAAGGUUACGAAACUGGUGAACCAAAUGAAGGUAUGUGGAGAAGUGUUGACAUCAAGAUUUGUUGUUGGAAAGAUCUUGAGGUCGUUGGCUCCAAAGUUCGACCACGUGGUAGUAGCCAUAGAAGAGUCAAAAGAUUUAUCAAAACUGACAAAGGAAAAGCUUCAAGGGACGCUUGAAUCUCAUGAACAAAGAAUGGCUGAAAGAGUUGCAGGAAAGUCGAAGAGUGAUAUGGCUUUGCAGGCUCAAUCAGCAAAAGAAAGAAAAGGAAAAGGUAGCUGGAAUGACAACAAAGGUAGAGGAGGUCACAAAAAUUUGACUGGUCUAAGUCAACAAGAAGGAAACUGGUCAAAUCGGAGAAAACCCUAGAACCAAGGCAAUCAAAGAGAUGGUGUUGCAGGUAGAGGAAGAGGUGGUGGUCAAAAUCCAGACAAGAGUCACAUUCAGUGUUACAAUUGUCAAAGGUAUGAUCAUUAUUCUAGUGAUUGUCCAGAAAAGCAGAAGAAUCAAGAAGCGUAUACCAAGCUGGCGAAACAUGAAGAAGAAGAAACGUUGUUGAUGGUUACAACAAGAGAAGAAGAGAGAUUCAAGGACCAGUGGUACUUGGACUCAGGAUGCUCAUCACACAGGUCUGGACGAAAAGAUUGGUUUGUCAACAUAAAACCCUCAAGGAAGAAUAUGGUGAAACUUGCAAAUGACAACACUCCAGCAGCUGAAGGUGUUGGUGAUGUUCUGAUUAUGAGGAAAGAUGGAAAGAGGUCAGUAAUUUCAAAUGUGUUGUACAUAGCAGGCAUGAAGAGCAAUUUGCUCAGCAUAAGGCAGUUAGUCGAAAAGAACUACAGAGUUUCGAUCGAAGACAAGAUGAUGAGAGUUCUCGACUCAAAUGGAAGGUUGAUCUUGAAGGCUCCAAUGUCUCCGAAUAGAACCUUCAAGAUUGAGCUUAAUGUGAUAGAGCAUAAGUGUAUUGUAACAACAACCAAUAGAUAUGAAUGGAUAUGGUAUUAUAGACUUGGUCAUAUCAAUUUCAAAGACAUCGGAGAUUUGAAGAGAAGAAAUAUGGUUUCAGGAUUACCAGAAAUCUACAUUCCAAACGAAGUGUGUGAAGAAUGUGUGCAGGCGAAGCAUCAUAAGAACAACUUUAGUAAGGAUACAAGAAGCAGGUCGAAGGCAAUUCUUGAAGUCAUAUACUCUGAUGUAUGUGGUCCUCUCUAGGUGGAUUCGAUUGGAGGUAACAAAUACUUAAUACAUUCAUAGAUGACUUCAGUCGAAGACUGUGGUCUUACCUGAUCAAGAAGAAAAGUGAAGUGAUCGAGGCAUUUUCCAAGUUUAAAUUUAUGGUCGAAAGAUAGAGCGGUCGAAAGAUCAAGAUUUUGAGGACUGAUGGUGAUGGAGAAUAUGUGUCAAAAGAUUUCGAUGCAUUAUGUGUGAAAGAAGGGAUUAUGCAUGCGGUGGUGCCACCCUACACUCCACAACAGAAUAGAGUCGCAGAAAAGAAGAAUAGAACCAUCAUGAAUAUGGUUAGAAGUAUGUUAAAAGGCAAACAUCUACCCAAAGAAUUAUGGGGAGAAGUUGUGUCGACUGCGACAUAUAUCCUGAACAGAUGUCUGACAAAGAAGCUAGAAGGAAUCACGCCAGAAGAAUGUUGGUAUGGUGUCAAGCCUAGCUUGAGUCAUCUGAGGAUGUUUGGAUCUAUAACACAUAGACAUGUGCCAGAUCAGUUGAGAAGAAAACUUGAUGACAAGUCGAUUCAGAUGAUCUUGAUAGGAUAUCAUUCGACUGGAGGAUACAAGUUGUUCGACCCAGUGAAUAAGCAAGUGGUGAUCAGCAGGGACGUGGUCAUAUAUGAGCUUAAGGAGUGGGAUUGGACUGAGAAUGUCAAGAUAGAUUUAGUGAGAAUCUUUUACGAUGAACCAACUAGUGAAUUCGAAAGAAAAGUUCGACAGGAAGAAGUCAGAGGUGAAGCAGGCCCAAGCAGACCUCAGAGAACAAGACACAUGUCAGUAAGAUUGCAAGAAUGUGUGAUUACAUCAGAUGAUGUGGUUAAUGAAGAAGGUGAGCUGGUACAUUAUGCUUUCAACGCAAAUGUCGAACAUGUCAAUAUAGCUGAGGCAUUGAAAGAUUCGAAGUGGAUGAAAGCAAUUGACGAAGAGCUGAAGUCAGUCGAAGUCAACAACACUUGGUCACUUAUUGAAUUGCCCCAAGACAAUAAGGCAAUCAAUUUGAAGUGGGUAUACAAGGUGAAGUUAAAUCCCAGAGGAUAAGUGACUUGACACAAGGCGAGACUUAUAGCGAAAAGAUUUCUUCAAAAAAAAAGGAAUUGACUUCAAUAAGGUUUUUGCACCUGUUGCUAUGAUCGAAACAAUCAGGUUGCUUGUUGGUCUAGCAAACAUGAACAACUGGCAGAUGUGUCAUAUGGAUGUAAAAUUUGCAUUCCUUAAUGGCCCCAUUAGAAGAAGAAGUUUAUAUUGCACAACCAUUUGGGUUUGUGAAACAUGGCGAAGAAAGAAAAGUGUACAGGCUGCAUAAAGCCCUGUACGGGCUUAAACAAGCUCCAAGAGCUUGGAACAAGAAGAUAGAUGGAUUUCUAAGGGAGAAGGAAUUUGUGAAGUGCAAAUAUGAACAUGGAGUAUAUGUAAGAAGAAGCAAGAAUGAAUUACUUAUACUAUGCCUCUAUGUCUAUGACAUGUUGAUAAUAGGUAGUUGCAAGAAGGAGAUCGAAGACUUCAAAGGUGAUUUAAACAAGGAAUUCGAAAUGUCAAAUUCAGGUGACAUUUCAUAUUUCCUUGGCAUCGAAUUCUACAAGAGUGAUAAAGGUUUGAUGAUGCAUCAAAUAAGGUAUACAUGCAAAAUACUCAAGAGAUUUGAGAUGCAAGAUUGCAACCUAACUUGGACUCCAAUUGAGCCUAGAUUACAACUGUCGAAAGAUUCAGAUGAAGAUGAUGUCGACCGAACCCAAUAUAUAAGACUUAUUGGAUCACUUAGAUACCUUUGUCACACAAGGCCUGACUUAGCAUACAAUGUAGGUAUGGUGAGUAGGUUCAUGCAGAAGCCAAAGGUAUCACAUAUAGCAGCGACGAAGAGGAUACUAAGGUAUCUGAAAGGAACUGUCGACUAUGGAAUUUUGUUUCCUGCAGUUGAUGAAGGAAAAGAAUGCAAAUUAGUGGGAUACACCGACUCAAGCUGGUGUAGUGAUACUGAGGAUCGAAAAUCCACAACUGGUUGUGUGUUUAUGCUAGGCGGUGCACUAGUUGCUUGGAGUUCGAGAAAAGAGACAGUAGUGGCAUUAUUAUCGUGCGAAGCAGAAUACAUAGUUGAUUCUCUUUAUGCAUCUUAAGCAACGUGGAUGGUGAAUUUGGUCGAAGAGAUAACAGUGAAGAGUCAUAGAGCAAUUACCAUGAAGAUCGACAGCAUGUCAACUAUCAAUCUGGCAAAGAAUCCGAUAGCACAUGGCCAAAGCAAGCACGUCGAGAUGAGGUUCCAUUUUCUUCGAGAGCAGGUAGCAGAUGGGAAGAUGAAUUUGGAACACUGCAUAACUGAGAAUCAGAUUGCAGAUAUCAUGACAAAGGGAGUGCAGGUCAAAGUGUGCAGAAGAUUAAGAGCUAUGAUGAAUGUAGAGAGCUUAGACACAAUGAAUUAGGUGUUGUGUUGAAUUUUAAUUCCUUAUGUCGAAGCAGGUUGCUCGAUAAAACAAGAAAGUGUCGAACCACCUAGUGUGUUGAGUUGUGUUAGUGUGUCGAAGUGUUGAAGCAUGUUGCUUCACACAAGAUUUCGACUUAGGCCUAUUUUAGUAGUGUUAGUUAUUUUGGGCUUUUAUAGUUUUGAGUUUUGGUUUGAGGUCCAAGUUAACCUAAAUCUAUAAAUAGAGGGAGUAACCCUUAUUCUUGUAAUAAGGUGAAUGGAGUAUUCAUAACACUUGUAAUUCACAGUAUUUUACAAUUGCAAAGUGAAUAAGAAGUUUUCCACUGUUUGUGGGUAAAGAGAAAAUCUGCAGAAUUUUAAUUCUUCUUCUCCUUCAUCGUUCUUUACACACUUUCUUUCUUGAUUGUUAUUUUUUUUCAUUGCUAUUGUGUGGAUGAUAACAAUCUUGUUCAUCAAGAUUGAUUGAAAUUCUCCAUAGAUUUUUGGGGGUUUUCAACAUGAUGAUGGUUCAUAUCCACUUUGACAGUUUUUCUUUUAGCUUUCAAGAUAUGGUCCCAUCGUUGUUGCAUGUCUUUUUCCCAAGUACAACUCUUGCUUUGAUCUCUUUUCAUUUUAAUGAUUUGCUUAUGGUGAUUUUUUCCUUCGUAAUGAUUAUUAUUCUUUUUAUCCUUAUUGUUCCUAUGAGAGGUAUCCAUCUGUUGCUGGUUAGUUUCUUGCUUAUUGCUCUUGAGAGUUAUUUUCUACUUCAAGACAUUGCAAUAUAUUUCUCCCCUAUACCAGUUGUUGAUUCUCACUAUCACUUCUUUAUUCUGCUCUCCAUCUUUAGGUCUGACCUUCAUUGAAAUUGAUCUGCUUGGGCUUGAGAUUGGAGCAAUCUUAUGCAAUGUUAGCACGUUGGAACUCAUUAGCAUUGCAUAAAUUUUUCUUCAGGUGCGACAAACAGGACCCAGUUCUCCAACAUUAUAGUCAUUGGCUUUUAUCAAGAAUUAGGAUUUCAAACAUAGUUUGUAUCUAUUAUCCACAUGCAUGCAAAUGGACAAGUUGAGUCAACAAACAAAGUAAUCUUGGAGGGACUCAAGAAGAAACUUGACAACGCCAAAGGCUUAUGGGUAGAACUGUUCCAUGAAAUAUUAUGGUCAUAUCAUACCACCCUUCACUCUACUACCAAGUAAACUUCAUUCACCAUAGUGUAUGAGACAUAUGUUAUGUUGCCUGUGGAGAUUUACAUGCCCUCAUGGUGACGCUCUUAAUUCAGUCAGAAGGUAAACAAAGCAGGUAUGAAAUAUGCUACAAAUCUAGUUGACGAGUUAAGAGAAGUCGCCCACAAUCAAGAAUUUGUCGUCAAGCAUAAAGUCUCUAGAAGGUACAACUCCAAAGUUAUGCCAAGGGAAAUGCGAGAAGGUGACCUGGUCUCAAGGCAAGUGAUUUUACCCACACAGUAGGAAAAACUGCAACCCAAUUGGGAAGGAUCAUAUCGCAUACUCCAAAAGCUCCCUCAUGGAGCCUACAAACUGCAAGAAUUGAAUGGAAGACUUGUACAUUGAACUUGGAACUCCAUUCGUCUUAAAUAUGACUAUAGUUAGAUUAUUUGAAAUUUUUAGACGGCAUAUUGUCCGCCUAUGUAUGAAUCUUAUCUUGCCACUUUAAUACAUGUUUUAGUCUCGUAACUUAAA